UAAGCAUACAGCCAAGAGAAGGCAGGAGUGGCUUCUUGACAAGUCUGUGAAGGUCCUAGAGUGGCCCAGCCAGUGCCUGGACUUGACCCCGA